UGCAGUCCUGCUUUCUGGCCCUCUUUGC
rnacentral:piRNA from 1 species